CAUAGUUCUACAUCCUAGCGGCAAGUCAUUCUAGUUCCUCUUUGUGGGAUGCCAUGAUAGCAUGGUCUGAUGAGAGGAUGAGCUGUGCAGAGAGGGCCGUCCUAGGGAACAUUUCAAAGGAGACGUGGAAUCAACCAGUUCUUCAAAGAAACCAAUAUCCAGGUACUAGUGGUGGCCUGGACCUUCACUUGCCACUAGGGUGAACAGACAGGCAUCAUGCAUCACAUUUUCAGGAAGCAGCUUGCCGUAACAUUUUGCAACAUGCUUGGAUGUCCUGGAUAUGAGAAGACCAACCAGAAGGUCAGAAACUGAAAAUUGGUUUGCAGAAUAGUUUGAGUGAACGUCUUAAGGUUACAAAGGCAAGCAUAUGGAGAUCUACGUUUGCAUCUUUGAAUUGUAGGAGGCAGAUCUAUUCAACACAUUGCUAGGAGGCAUCCACUGAACAGCCCAGAUGCUAGUAUUUUCCAGCAUUCAACAGUACUUACGUAGUGGACAUGACUUCAUCUGCGAAGAGAAAACCAACUCAAAAUGGAGAAAUAACAGUAAGAAAAUUUAUGAUGUCACAGAAGAGGAUACACAAGGGAAGGCAAUCCUAAGAUUGAUGGGAAACAUAGGAAAAAGAAGAUAAUACUGGAACAAGGUGUUGGAGGAUGACAGCUAAAUCCCACUUCAACCAAGCAACCAACCAACCCACCCUGAGAAGUUUCCAUUCCAGGGGCUGGAUGGAAAGAAGUACCUCCAAAGAAUAUAUGUAUAACUUCAUAUCUCUUCAGGGUCUUUGGUAGAGCGAUCCAAUUUGGGAAGACCAGUCUUUGAAAAACUAUGAAAACUAUUUGCUAAUAUUAUGAAAAGCACAAUUUUCCUUUGCAUCUCUCUCUUUGAAUGUUAUAGGACUAUAUAGAAAGCUGCAGAUAUAAUGCCACAGUAAUUAGAAACUUUCCCCUCUAAAGACUGAAAAGCAGCUAACUCGUGGACUCACUAUACUUUCUUCAAAUGAUUUUUUUCUGGAAGCAUCGUAACAUUCAAUAAGUAGUCACAAUUUUUUUAAAUUAUUUAUCCAUAAGAUUAAAAGAAGUCCCUCCAUAUGUGUGCUCUAUAAAUAUUUGUUGAAUAAAAGACUCAAUUAAAAAAUAAUAAAAAAGCAGUUUUGCAAAUUGCUAAUCACAUCCACUCUAGUGAGAAAUAGACAUGCAACCAUUAGUUCCCUCUUUUUCUG
rnacentral:lncRNA from 1 species